AUUGAACGCUGGCGGCAGGCCUAACACAUGCAACUCGAACGAGUGGCGGACGGGUGAGUAAUGUCUGGGAAACUGCCUGUAGGAGGGGGAUAACUACUGGAAACGGUAGCUCAUACCGCAUACCCACGGAUGUGCCCAUAUGGGAUUAGCUAGUAGGUGGGGUAAAGGCUCACCUAGGUGACGAUCCAUACCUGGUCUGAGAGGAUGACCAGCCAAACGGUAACUGAGACACGGUGCAGACUCCACAGGGAGGGAGCAGUGGGUAAUAUUGCACAAUGGGCGCAAGCAUGAUGCAGCUAUGCCGCGUGUAUGAAGAAGGCCUUCGGGUUGUAGAGUACUUUCAGAGGGGAGGGAUUACCCGCAGAAGAAGCACCGGCUGACGGCGUGCGAGCCGCCGCGGUAAAAG
rnacentral:rRNA from 1 species